rnacentral:rRNA from 1 species
GACAGAGGCCCCGAGCGUUAGGCGGAAUCACUGGGCUUAAAGCGUGUGUAGGCGGAUCGUUAAGUACCUUGUGAAAUCCCACGGCUCAACCGUGGAACUGCUGGGUAUACUGGCGAUCUUGGGCCAUUCAGGGGCGACUGGAACAAGCGGUGGAGCGGUGAAAUGCGUAGAUAUCGCUUGGAACGCCGAAGGUGAAAACAGGUCGCUGGGGAUGUGCCGACGCUGAGACACGAAAGCCAGGGGAGCAAACGGG